rnacentral:antisense_RNA from 1 species
UAGAUAUGUAAUUUUAGAAAAGGCACGACAUUGCUCACAUUGCUUCCAGUAUAUUUUUAUUAGCCGGCUCGGGUGCCGGCUAUUUUUU